GACGAACGCUGGCGGCGUGCCUAAUACAUGCAAGUUGAGCGCUGAAGGUUGGUACUUGUACCAACUGGAUGAGCAGCGAACGGGUGAGUAACGCGUGGGGAAUCUGCCUUUGAGCGGGGGACAACAUUUGGAAACGAAUGCUAAUACCGCAUAAAAACUUUAAACACAAGUUUUAAGUUUGAAAGGUGCAAUUGCAUCACUCAAAGAUGAUCCCGCGUUGUAUUAGCUAGUUGGUGAGGUAAAGGCUCACCAAGGCGAUGAUACAUAGCCGACCUGAGAGGGUGAUCGGCCACAUUGGGACUGGGACACGGCCCAAACUCCUACGGGAGGCAGCAGUAGGGAAUCUUCGGCCAUGGACGAAAGUCUGACCGAGCAACGCCGCGUGAGUGAAGAAGGUUUUCGGAUCGUAAAACUCUGUUGGUAGGGAAGAACGUUGGUGAGAGUGGAAAGCUCAUCAAGUGACGGUAACUACCCAGAAAGGGACGGCUAACUACGUG
rnacentral:rRNA from 1 species